rnacentral:rRNA from 1 species
CCUACGGGGCAGCAGUGGGGAAUAUUGGACAAUGGGCGAAAGCCUGAUCCAGCCAUGCCGCGUGUGUGAAGAAGGCCUUCGGGUUGUAAAGCACUUUCAGUGGGGAAGAAAGCCUUGGGGCUAAUACCCUCGAGGAAGGACAUCACCCACAGAAGAAGCACCGGCUAACUCCGUGCCAGCAGCCGCGGUAAUACGGAGGGUGCGAGCGUUAAUCGGAAUUACUGGGCGUAAAGCGCGCGUAGGCGGUCUGAUAAGCCGGUUGUGAAAGCCCCGGGCUCAACCUGGGAACGGCAUCCGGAACUGUCAGGCUAGAGUGCAGGAGAGGAAGGUAGAAUUCCCGGUGUAGCGGUGAAAUGCGUAGAGAUCGGGAGGAAUACCAGUGGCGAAGGCGGCCUUCUGGACUGACACUGACGCUGAGGUGCGAAAGCGUGGGUAGCAAACAGGAUUAGAUACCCGAGUAGUC